GACGAACGCUGGCGGCAUGCCUAAUACAUGCAAGUCGAGCGAACAGAUGAAGUGCUUGCACUUCUGACGUUAGCGGCGAACGGGUGAGUAACACGUAAGGAAUCUACCUAUAAGCGGGGGAUAACAUUCGGAAACGGGUGCUAAUACCGCAUAAUAUCUUCUUCCGCAUGGAAGAAGAUUGAAAGACGGCUCUGCUGUCACUUAUAGAUGACCUUGCGGUGCAUUAGUUAGUUGGUGGGGUAACGGCCUACCAAGACGAUGAUGCAUAGCCGACCUGAGAGGGCGAUCGGCCACAUGGGGACUGAGACACGGCCCAAACUCCUACGGGAGGCAGCAGUAGGGAAUCUUCCGCAAUGGGCGAAAGCCUGACGGAGCAAUGCCGCGUGAGUGAAGAAGGCCUUCGGGUCGUAAAACUCUGUUAUAAGAGAAGAACAAAUUGUAGAGUAACUGCUACAGUCUUGACGGUAUCUUAUCAGAAAGCCACGGCUAACUACGUGCCAGCAGCCGCCGUAA
rnacentral:rRNA from 1 species